rnacentral:rRNA from 1 species
CUUCUUUUCCCACCGGAGCUUGCUCCACCGGGAAAAGAGGAGUGGCGAACGGGUGAGUAACACGUGGGUAACCUGCCCAUCAGAAGGGGAUAACACUUGGAAACAGGUGCUAAUACCGUAUAACAAUCGAAACCGCAUGGUUUCGUUUUGAAAGGCGCUUUACGGUGCCGCUGAUGGAUGGACCCGCGGUGCAUUAGCUAGUUGGUGAGGUAACGGCUCACCAAGGCCACGAUGCAUAGCCGACCUGAGAGGGUGAUCGGCCACAUUGGGACUGAGACACGGCCCAAACUCCUACGGGAGGCAGCAGUAGGGAAUCUUCGGCAAUGGACGAAAGUCUGACCGAGCAACGCCGCGUGAGUGAAGAAGGUUUUCGGAUCGUAAAACUCUGUUGUUAGAGAAGAACAAGGGUGAGAGUAACUGUUCACCCCUUGACGGUAUCUAACCAGAAAGCCACGGCUAACUACGUGCCAGCAGCCGCGGUAAUACGUAGGUGGCAAGCGUUGUCCGGAUUUAUUGGGCGUAAAGCGAGCGCAGGCGGUUUCUUAAGUCUGAUGUGAAAGCCCCCGGCUCAACCGGGGAGGGUCAUUGGAAACUGGGAGACUUGAGUGCAGAAGAGGAGAGUGGAAUUCCAUGUGUAGCGGUGAAAUGCGUAGAUAUAUGGAGGAACACCAGUGGCGAAGGCGGCUCUCUGGUCUGUAACUGACGCUGAGGCUCGAAAGCGUGGGGAGCAAACAGGAUUAGAUACCCUGGUAGUCCACGCCGUAAACGAUGAGUGCUAAGUGUUGGAGGGUUUCCGCCCUUCAGUGCUGCAGCUAACGCAUUAAGCACUCCGCCUGGGGAGUACGACCGCAAGGUUGAAACUCAAAGGAAUUGACGGGGGCCCGCACAAGCGGUGGAGCAUGUGGUUUAAUUCGAAGCAACGCGAAGAACCUUACCAGGUCUUGACAUCCUUUGACCACUCUAGAGAUAGAGCUUCCCCUUCGGGGGCAAAGUGACAGGUGGUGCAUGGUUGUCGUCAGCUCGUGUCGUGAGAUGUUGGGUUAAGUCCCGCAACGAGCGCAACCCUUAUUGUUAGUUGCCAUCAUUUAGUUGGGCACUCUAGCAAGACUGCCGGUGACAAACCGGAGGAAGGUGGGGAUGACGUCAAAUCAUCAUGCCCCUUAUGACCUGGGCUACACACGUGCUACAAUGGGAAGUACAACGAGUCGCGAAGUCGCGAGGCUAAGCUAAUCUCUUAAAGCUUCUCUCAGUUCGGAUUGUAGGCUGCAACUCGCCUACAUGAAGCCGGAAUCGCUAGUAAUCGCGGAUCAGCACGCCGCGGUGAAUACGUUCCCGGGCCUUGUACACACCGCCCGUCACACCACGAGAGUUUGUAACACCCGAAGUCGGUGAGGUAACCUUUUUGGAGCCAGCCGCCUAAGGUGGGAUAGAUGAUUGGGG